rnacentral:lncRNA from 12 species
CUGUCUUUUAGAAAAUAUUAAUUAAAAUGAUUUACAAUUAAACUGUUAAUUACUCUAGAUGCCAGAUCAGCCAACAUAGUACAAUAUUUCAUAAAUUAAUUUAGCUUUGGACAACAUCUCAACUCCGUCUACAUCACAUACCACAAAUGUGACCCUGGAGCACAAAACAGGUAUAUUUGUAGCACAACUAUACAUUGUAUGGGUCAAAAUUAUCAAUGUAUCUUCUAUGCCAAAAAUCAUUAGGAUAUUAAGUAAAGAUCAUGUUCCAUGAAGAUAUUUAGUAAAUUCCUAUAUAUAAAUAUUACAGAACUUAAUUUUUGAUUAGUAAUAUGCACUGCUAAGAAAAUCAUUUGGACAUCAUUUGGACAACAAAAGGAAAAAACAUUUUUUUUUUUUUUUGCACCCUCAGAUUCCUGAUUACAAAUAGUUGUAUCCCGGCCCAAUAUUGUCAUAUCCUAACAAACCAUACAUCAAUAGAAAGCUUUUUUUUUUGAGCUUUUAGAAGAUGUAUAAAUCCCAACGUCCAAAAACUGACCCUUAUGACUGGUUUCGUGCUCCAGGGUCACAAAGGCUGGCAGCAGCAGGCGGAAGAGCGAGCGCGCACACGCCCAGCCGCGAGGACGUGCACGUACAGCUGUACUAACGUGAUGUCAGAACGCCGUUGAGCUCAAAAAAUGUUAGCCUGUGUUGUUAAGUCUGAAAGAUACAGGGGAUUUGCCCGACGGAAAUAAUACCGUUUUACCGCCUAGAAACACAUGUACAGCCCACAUAUUUGCGUAGCGCGUCUUUAUUCGGUUUUCUAUCCGCUUGCAGCGAGCGUCUUGGGUUUAUGCUGAGAGAAAGUUGGUUGGUUAUUUUGUGGGAGUGAUGUCGAAUCCUGGGACUCGAAGGAACGGGUCAAGCAUCAAAAUCCGACUGACAGUAUUAUGUGCCAAGAAUCUGGCAAAGAAAGACUUCUUUCGUAAGUAUACCUCAUUUCACCUCCUUUUCCACAAUCCUUUGUGUACCUUAAACUUCACCCAAACAUGUAAAUUUUUCUAUUUACUGGUCUUCAUGUCACUCCAAACAAAAAAAAAAGUAAAAUUUUUGAAUAAUGUGCUUGUUGCUCUUCUCCGUGUAAUUACAAUAAAUUGGAUAUUCAAGCUUUAA